CACGUGACUUUUUCGGCUAUGUGUGGGACAAUCGGAUGUAAACAAAACGUCGCUUCAGUUGAGAAUUUCCUGCAGGAGAACGAAGUCCUGCAGGAGAACGAAGUCAUGAGACAACGAAUCGUGUGCACGAUAUGUAACACAAAAGAGAGGCGUGUGGUGUAACUUCCAUGCGGACAUUUGCUUACCUGCGAGGUGUGCGGACAAGAGACAGACACCUGUCCAGCGUGUAGAAGGGGAGUGAACUCGCGUGUCGUUGUGAACCAGUGACAUUUUACAAAAUAAUUAAGCGACUUAGUACUGUAAAAUUUAUGAAAUAAUUUAAGAUUGAUAUAGAAAUUAAAAAGGAAACGUUGACUGUAAUUUUUUUUAAUAAUGUUAGAUAUUUGAAUGAAAUAUAGCCAUACUAUUUUUGACCUUACAGUUGCAAAAUAAACCAAAUGGUGCAAAUUUUAUAUUUGAAAAAAACAAGUUAAGCUUACAUCAUAGAGACGCCGUUUUAAAUUAAUGUAAAAUAUAUGUUGUAUUGUGAAUUGAUUUUUAUAGUGUUCAUUCUAUGUUUCAAAGAGCCCGAACUAUUUAAAUGCUACUGUAAUUGGUGUAAUAAUCUACAUAAUGAUGCAAGAUGCGUUUUAUACACAUUUACGUCAAUACGCCACACGUUUGGCCCAUGACCAAGAGCUAUUCGGAGCACGUUAUAUUUCGCAGGUGAAGAACGCGACGACGCUAACAUUUUACAAAUACAAAUGUAGUUGUAGUUAGUACUGGUGCCAAAAGUUUGUGAAUGAGACAGACGACAACUCAUUAUGUUUACUGUAUUUUUCAUUCGAAUUUGUAAUUAAGACCAAAGUAUGAACAUGUACUUUAUUGUCUGUGUUUCUUUUUUUACAAAUAUGAUAUUGUUUUCCUUCUGCUACAUGACAAAGGAUAAAGCAAGGAGCGUGAGACGUGAUAUGUGAAAGGAUCAGUUUAAGUAGGACACAUAUGUAAACUGCUAAACGUGCAAAAACUUGUAAAGUGUAAAUACGUGCAAAAACUAUUACUUCAUAUGUUUGACAUUAAUUCCAUUAUAUGAAGUUUAAACACUUGUACUAACGUUUGUUGUACAAAAUAAUUCCAGAUUUACAGAUGCAAGUAGCUGUACAGUUGAGAUAUUGCUGUGUUUUAUUUUUAACAUACUCAUGAUACUUAAAUUGGUUACCGCUGCAAUUUGUAGCAAAAUAAGUUUCUUUUGAAGACUGUGUAUUGCAUGAAAGAGCUGGAGUUUUUUAUGCAUUCAAUAAUGAUUGUUUUGUUGGAGUUUCAUCGUUUGCUGCAUUGAACUUGCGUAAACGCAAUUUAAUAUUUUAUAUGUUUGUUAAUGGCGAAUACUUGUACAUGCUUAAUUCAAAAUAAACUAUUUUGUUCCAUUA